rnacentral:rRNA from 1 species
CACGUAGGGGACGAGCGUUGUCCGGAUUCAUUGGGCGUAAAGCGCGCGUAGGCGGCUCGGAAAGUCGGGCGUGAAAUGCCGGGGCUCAACUCCGAAACUGCAUUCGAUACUGCGGUGCUUGAGGACUGGAGAGGAGACUGGAAUUCAUGGUGUAGCAGUGAAAUGCGUAGAGAUCAUGAGGAAGACCAGUGGCGAAGGCGGGUCUCUGGACAGUUCCUGACACUGAGGCACGAAGGCCAGGGGAGCAAACGGG